AAAGCGCGAAAUGUGUCAUGACUUGCAGAUUCCCGAGAGCUGACAAAUUUCUGAAUGCAAAUGGCACCUGAUUUAACACCAGGUAUGCAUCGUAGAGUGUAGUUGCUCCAGCUAUUCAUCAAUUUCUUUUUCUUCCGAAAACAGAACAUUGGAUCUGCGUUUGCGCGCCGCUGUUUAAAUACUGCGGUGCGCGAACGUGAAGAGGAGAGGUGUUUGUGCCAACACAUGUUGUUGUGCACAAAAGACGCACCGAUGACUUCUUGUCGGGCGACGACACAAAGCACCAAAUUUAUUCUUUAUAUGAGCCACCUCUACGAUACAUGAAAACCCGCUGAACUUAA
rnacentral:misc_RNA from 1 species